GGAAAAGUCAAUGGUGGAAGCUGCCGGCGUCCUCCGGGUGCAGGAGGGUGAGGAGAAAAGAGUCGGAAGGGAAGAAAAGUCUCGGAGGCUGAAGGCGCCGAGGCUGAAGGCUCUGCUGCUGGGAUGGAGUGAAGGAGAUCUAUCAGAUCAGCAGCAGAUCCGUUCUAUCCUGGUGAAUGAACUGGAAACAUCUAGAUAUGAAUUUAAUACCACUCAGAAGUUGUAAAAUUAAGGGGCCAAAAACACUAAGUGAACUGCGGAAUUUUAGAGACGUGAAGUUCUGACUUGGACACCAGAGCUGAAGAGUGGAACAGAUUUUGGAACCUACAUAUAACAUUUUGAAGAAUGCAUUUCUAAUUGGAGACAAUCUCUUGUCACUAGGGAAUUUACUACCAGCUGAUGAAUGUUGGUAUUUGUUAUACCUGGAUCCUACCAUAUGGAUAGAUCCAGCUACAAGGGCAGCCAUGUCUCCCCUCAAAAGUGGAAGAUAAAGCCAGAAGACCAGGCAGUUACGUUGCUGUAGGAAACCAAU